AUUGAACGCUAGCGGGAUGCUUUACACAUGCAAGUCGAACGAGUGGCGGACGGGUGAGUAAUAUAUCGGAACGUGCCCAGUAGCGGGGGAUCACUACUAGAAAGAGUGGCUAAUACCGCAUAAUAUUGGAUCGGCCGAUAUGUGAUUAGCUAGUUGGUGGGGUAAAGGCUCACCAAGGCAACGAUCCGUAGCUGGUUUGAGAGGACGACCGGCCACACUGGAACUGAUACACGGCCCAGACUCCUACGGGAGGCAGCAGUGGGGAAUUUUGGACAAUGGGGGAAACCCUGAUCCAGCCAUGCCGCGUGUAUGAGAAGGCCUUCGGGUUGUAAAGUACUGUUGGCAGAGAAGCGGUAUCUGCAGAAUAAGCAACGGCUAACUACGUGCCAGCAGCCGCGGUAAUUC
rnacentral:rRNA from 1 species